rnacentral:rRNA from 1 species
AUUGAACGCUGGCGGCAGGCCUAACACAUGCAAGUCGAACGGGGUGGCGGACGGGUUGGUAAUGCCUAGGAAUCUGCCUGGUGGUUGGGGAUAACGUCCGGGAACGGGUGCUAAUACCGCAUACUAUCAGAUGAGCCUAGGUCGGAUUAGCUAGUUGGUGGGGUAAAGGCCUACCAAGGCGACGAUCCGUAACUGGUCUGAGAGGAUGAUCAGUCACACUGGAACUGAGACACGGGCCAGACUCCUACGGGAGGCAGCAGUGGGGAAUAUUGGACAAUGGGCGAAAGCCUGAUCCAGCCAUGCCGCGUGUGUGAAGAAGGUCUUCGGAUUGUAAAGCACUUUAAGUUGGGAGGCGUUACCAACAGAAUAAGCACCGGCUAACUUCGUGCCAGCAGCCGCGGUAAUAC